rnacentral:rRNA from 1 species
UGGGGAAUAUUGGGCAAUGGGCGAAAGCCUGACCCAGCCAUGCCGCGUGAGUGACGAAGGCCUUAGGGUUGUAAAGCUCUUUUGGCGGGGACGAUAAUGACGGUACCCGCAGAAUAAGCCCCGGCUAACUUCGUGCCAGCAGCCGCGGUAAUACGAAGGGGGCUAGCGUUGUUCGGAAUCACUGGGCGUAAAGCGCACGUAGGCGGACUUUCAAGUCAGGGGUGAAAUCCCGGGGCUCAACCUCGGAACUGCCUUUGAUACUGUUGGUCUCGAGUCCGGAAGAGGUGGGUGGAAUUCCUAGUGUAGAGGUGAAAUUCGUAGAUAUUAGGAAGAACACCGGUGGCGAAGGCGGCCCACUGGUCCGGUACUGACGCUGAGGUGCGAAAGCGUGGGGAGCAAAC